GCAAAACCUAGUUAGUCAUUUACAACCUAAAGCUUUAUUGAGCACCGACUCUGUUUAUCUCACUAUAUGAAAGAUGAGGGUGUAAUACAGAAAGCUGUUUGGAGAGCCUUGUGUAUGCAGAUGUGACUUGUCCACUGGAGACGUCUGCUUUAUGACAACUUCUCAGAGAACUCUCUUUAAAGGAUUCUACUGAUCUCUGCUUAUAACUCAUCACAAAUGAAGGCCGACAUUCCCUUGCCAGAACUAUCAAACAAUUUUUUUCACUUUCUGGAUUCACAGGUCUCCUAACCAUUUUGAGAAAGUAAAUAUGGAUGCAAGGAGAGAGGAAUCUGGAUAACUGAGCCACUGAAGUAAGUGUGAGGAGGUACCUGAAAAGGCUAAGUCCUCACUGGUCAGCUAAGGCAGAAAGGAGCAGGUGCAAGCAUCAACCAACUGAGUCCUGGUGAAGAAAGCAGAAGAGUCCUAGCAAGCCCAGAACUUUUGAUGCUGAGCUCUCAACAGUAGCUGCUUCCUCUGAGUCUGGAGGCCCCUUCUAGACUAACUGUGGAACUUAAUGUCUUUUUGCCAUUAGAGGAAUGGAGUAGCAAACUUUGGAAGACAAAAAGCAGAAAAGACUUGGAGCUAGAACCUGGAUGACGUAAGACAGAAAGAAAAAAUCUUCCUAGGAAGAAACCAGAGAGAAACGGGAAAUCAUUUCAUUCAUUCAGUGGUUUUCUGAGGUGCUUUGUGGACUCUAAAGUGGAAGGUGGCAUCG